GCAUCUUGCAGAGCCGUUCUAAUGUGACACCUCUAGAGUGUCAUCCCCUAGAAUAUCACCUUGGAAAGGCUCUGCAAGAUGCCU
ensembl:miRNA